rnacentral:rRNA from 1 species
UACGUAGGGUGCAAGCGUUGUCCGGAAUUAUUGGCGUAAAGAGCUCGUAGGCGGUCUGUCGCGUCGGCUGUGAAAACUCGGGGCUCAACUCCGAGCCUGCAGUCGAUACGGGCAGACUAGAGUGCUGUAGGGGAGACUGGAAUUCCUGGUGUAGCGGUGAAAUGCGCAGAUAUCAGGAGGAACGCCAAUAGCGAAGGCAGCUCGCUGGGACGGUAUUGACGCUAAGGCGCGAAAGCGUGGGGAGCAAACAGG